UGCAGCAGCAUACCACCCUGCAUCCCACUACUGGCUUGCUUCUGAAGCUAAGCAGAGUUGGUCCUGGUUGUUCCCUGGAUGGAAGACCAGGUGCUGCUGGAA
rnacentral:rRNA from 1 species